UACACCUGUUGUAUUCAGCAUUUCACUGUAAGGUCUACCUACACCUGUUGUAUUCAGCAUUUCACGGUAAGGUCUACUACACCUGUUGUAUUCAGCAUUUCACUGUAAGGUCUACCUACACCUGUUGUAUUCAGCAUUUCACUGUAAGGUCUACUACACCUGUUGUAUUCAGUAUUUCACUGUAAGGUCUACCUACACCUGUUGUAUUCAGCAUUUCACUGUAAUGUCUACCUACACCUGUUGUAUUCAGCAUUUCACUGUAAGGUCUACUACACCUGUUGUAUUCAGCAUUUCACUGUAAGGUCUACUACACCUGUUGUAUUCAGCAUUUCACUGUAAGGUCUACCUACACCUGUUGUAUUCAGCAUUUCACUGUAAGCUCUACUACACCUGUUGUAUUCAGCAUUUCACUGUAAGGUCUACUACACCUGUUGUAUUCAGCAUUUCACUGUAAGAUCUACUACACCUGUUGUAUUCAGCAUUUCACUGUAAGGUCUACUACACCUGUUGUAUUCAGCAUUUCACUGUAAGGUCUACCUACACCUGUUGUAUUCAGCAUUUCACUGUAAGGUCUACCUACACCUGUUGUAUUCAGCAUUUCACUGUAAGGUCUACCUACACCUGUUGUAUUCAGCAUUUCACCGUAAGGUCUACUACUUCUGUUGUAUUCAGCAUGUGACAAAUAUAAUUUGAUUUCAUUUGAUAUUUUAAGGUUAAAAAGGCUUCCGAAGUUUGUAAUUUCCACUUUUGAAAAAUGUCCAUUAAUUAUAAUCCACAUAAUAAUUCAAAUGUCCCUUUGCUUCAGGAUUAUUUUCCUGCUGCAGCAAACUGACUGAAAUGAAGAUCCUACAUGUGUAGCAGUAUAUCUCUUUAAUGCACAUGGCUUUAUUAGGACGACAGGAUUCUCUUUGGACCAUUUGACAUGUUUUUUUUUACUGUUGUUUAGGCUGGUUGAAUGAGUUCCCUAUGAGAGUCUACUUCAUCUGCAAGAAAACAGGCGGCUGCACCAGUUUCCUCACAUUAAAUUAAAAGUAUGUUUGUGACCUAACACACUUACAAAAUGGCUGUUGAAACUGUGGGACACAUUUCUCUGCAAGAAGUCGGAUAAAUGUGUUGAUUUGAAGGAAAGACGAGCAGACUGUUGUCAGAGGUCUAAAAUGAGUCUCUCUGGGGAGAGAGAGGAGGGGGGCCCUGCCUCCAAAAUGAGACUCUCUGGGGAACAUGACACCACAGCUAAAAGUCCAAUCAAGCAGGAGAGACCAGCCUCCCCUGGGCCCAGCGGUGUGUCCAUGAAGAGUGACUGGUCUAUGGGUAUACCUAUAUUGUUCAGAGAGGGAGACGUUUCUACUGGACAAAGGUAAGAGGUACUCAUGGGUCAUGGUCUGUGAGUUAAACAACACUGUCUCUAGUUAUUUCUCCUCUCCCAUUUUUCAAUUUAUUUUUGUUGUUUUAAUAAUCAAUAGGCUAAUCCUUUUUACCAUUUUCAAAGUCAUGAAACAAUAUUAAACAAACACAGAAUUCCCUCCCUGUGUGUGUGUGCACUCCUUGGAUGUUUUGUCCACAGAAACCAACAGGAGAGAUGUGUGUG